CUACGGGCGGCACCAGUGGGGAAUUUUGCGCAAUGGGGGAAACCCUGACGCAGCAAUACCGCGUGAGUGAAGAAGGCCUUUGGGUCGUAAAGCUCUUUUCUUGGGGAAGAUAGUGACGGUACCCAAGGAAUAAGCACCGGCUAACUCCGUGCCAGCAGCCGCGGUAAUACGGAGGGUGCAAGCGUUGUUCGGAUUUACUGGGCGUAAAGGGCACGUAGGCGGCACAGCAAGUUAAGGGUGAAAUCCCGGGGCUCAACUCCGGAACUGCUCCUAAAACUGCUGAGCUAGAGAUAGUCAGAGGCGGGUGGAAUUCCAGGUGUAGAGGUGAAAUUCGUAGAUAUCUGGAGGAACACCGGUGGCGAAGGCGGCCCGCUGGGGCUAUUCUGACGCUAAGGUGCGAAAGCGUGGGGAGCAAACGGGAUUAGAUACCCCCGUAGUC
rnacentral:rRNA from 1 species